rnacentral:ncRNA from 1 species
AAAAAAGUUAUGAAAAGGGAAAGUAGAUUUAAUAUACUCACAGAGAGAGGUUUUUACCUAGCUGAGAGAAACCUCGGGUUCUUAUUAGAUUGAAGUGCACCUUUGAACUAUUGCUUGAAAUUUUAGUAGAGCAAAUCGGUAGGCACCGUUAUUGCCUUUGAGUUGGGAAUACUUUUCCAAUCAGAGUGGAAUCGCGAGCAAAAUCGUCUCUGUU